ACUAUCAGUCUAGGACAAGACAUUCCCUGAGCAGGGCCUGUAUAAGCAACUAGACUUGAGCUCCCUAACUUCACUUCUAAAAUAUUUCAUUGUCUUAAAGCUAAGUUUGUUUAAGUGGUAAAAUCCUAAUGUAGACCAUCGAAUGAAAGAGACAGCCAACACUUCUUGCUAGCAUUUCCACCAGGAGUGAACUCCAUAGAAAGAGGAGGGAGGAGAUCUUUAGACAGGGAGGAUGGGGUUUUUAUCCCAGGGGUCAUCUGGUCAUCAGAUGGGAUGCAUGUGCUGACUUUCCUGGUGUGGGUACCAGAGAUGGGAGUCUGCCGAGCAGAGCAUCCAAGAGCACACAUCUGCCAGGCUCUUCCCUCAGAUUGCUUAGCUCAUUAAUCAAACUGUUUGGGAUCCAGAGAACUAACUGCCUGAAGACUUUGAUGGCCGUUCUCUCUCGUGUCUCAUUCUGAGACUGUGCUUUGAAGAGGAGAAAGGCGGGCUUUACUUGCUUCAUGGAGUUCUUGGUGUCCAUUCUCAGCCACAACUGCACAGGACGCUGUGGUCUCAGAGUGUCUGAGAGACUAAGUGGCCCCAGCCUGACAGGGACAGCUUCAGAGAGCCUCGGAGGACAGGGACCAGGCGAAGACAAGACAUGCUUUCUGCUCGGAGGAGUUCCUGGCAGACAGCCUUCCCUGGCUCCCUUCUGAAACUAUUUCCUGAAGAGAUGCCACAUGUUUGCAAGAAGAUACACCCAAGGAUACCCCAUGCAGGACUGUUUGUGAUAACUAGUGAACAGAAACAUCAAAAAAUGCUUGAAGUAAGAGAUAUUGACAAAAUGGGAAAUUACAAAGCAGGGGCUUACAGUUAAAAGACUGCAUGAAUCUCAGAAGAGAUUUUGAACUUUGGACUUUUAAACAUUGUUGAGACUGUGAUACACUAUGGGAACUUUUGAAGUUGGACUAAAUUUAUUUUUCAGUUA